rnacentral:rRNA from 1 species
AUACGGAGGACGCGAGCGUUAUCCGGAUUCAUUGGGUUUAAAGGGUGCGCAGGCGGCCGUGCAAGUCAGCGGUGAAAGCCCGGGGCUCAACCCCGGAAGUGCCGUUGAUACUGCGUGGCUGGAAUGCGGUCGAGGCGGGCGGAACGGGGCGUGUAGCGGGGGAAUGCGUAGAUAGGCCAAAGAACGCGGAUAGCGGAGGCAGCUGGCCAGGCCUGCAUUGACGCGCGGGCACGAAAGCGUGGGGAUCGAACAGGAUUAGAUACCCGGGUAGUCCACGCCGUAAACGAUGGGCGCUCGUCGUCGGCGACAGACAGUCGGCGGCCAAGCGAAAGCGAUAAGCGCCCCACCUGGGGAGUACGGUCGCAAGGCUGAAACUCAAAUGAAUUGACGGGG